GAUGAACGCUAGCGGCAGGCCUAAUACAUGCAAGUCGAGCGCCCAGCAAUGGGAGCGGCGGACGGGUGCGUAACACGUAUGCAACCUACCCAUGACAGGGGGAUACCCCGUGGAAACGCGGAUCAAUACCCUAUAGUAUUGUUGACUGGCAUCAGUUGGCAAUUAAAGUUUCGAUACGGUCAUGGAUGGGCAUGCGUCCGAUUAGCUAGUUGGUAGGGUAAUGGCCUACCAAGGCUACGAUCGGUAACUGGUCUGAGAGGAUGAUCAGUCACACUGGCACUGAGACACGGGCCAGACUCCUACGGGAGGCAGCAGUAGGGAAUAUUGGGCAAUGGGGGCAACCCUGACCCAGCCAUGCCGCGUGAAGGAAGAAGGCCCUCUGGGUUGUAAACUUCUUUUGUAUGGGGCUAAGAUGUUAUAAGAAUAUAAUAUUUGAAGGUACCAUAAGAAUAAGCCACGGCUAACUACGUGCCAGCAGCCGCGGUAAUACGUAGGUGGCAAGCGUUGUCCGGAUUUACUGGGUUUAAAGGGUGCGUAGGCGGGAUUAUAAGUCAGUGGUGAAAUUCGGUUGCUUAACGAUACGAGUGCCAUUGAUACUGUAGUUCUAGAGUAAAGUUAAGGUAUGUGGAACGACUGGUGUAGCGGUGAAAUGCAUAGAUAUCAGUCAGAACACCGAUUGCGAAGGCAGCGUACUGAGCUUUUACUGACGCUGAGGCACGAAAGCAAGGGGAUCAAACAGGAUUAGAUACCCUGGUAGUCUUUGCUGUAAACGUUGGAUACUAGCUGUUGGGACAUUGCGGUUUCAGCGGCCAAGCGCAAGUGAUAAGUAUCCCACCUGGGGAGUACGCUCGCAAGGGUGAAACUCAAAGGAAUUGACGGGGGCCCGCACAAGCGGUGGAGCAUGUGGUUUAAUUCGAUGAUACACGAGGAACCUUACCUGGGCUAGAAUGUGAGGGAAUUAGCAGAGAUGCGAAAGUCCGCAAGGACCCGAAACAAGGUGCUGCAUGGCUGUCGUCAGCUCGUGUCGUGAGAUGUUGGGUUAAGUCCCGCAACGAGCGCAACCCUUAUUGUUAGUUGCCAGCAUUUAGAUGGGGACUCUAACAAGACUGCCGGCGUAAGCCGAGAGGAAGGAGGGGACGACGUCAAGUCAUCAUGGCCCUUACGCCCAGGGCUACACACGUGCUACAAUGGACGGUACAAAGAGCAGCCAACCUGCGAAGGUGCGCGAAUCUCAAAAAGCCGUUCUCAGUUCGGAUUGGAGUCUGCAACUCGACUCCAUGAAGUUGGAAUCGCUAGUAAUCGCAGAUCAGCUAUGUUGCGGUGAAUACGUUCCCGGGCCUUGUACACACCGCCCGUCAAGCCAUGAAAGCUGAGGGUGCCUGAAGUUGGGGAUAACCCACCUAGGGCAAAAUCGGUAAUUGGGGCU
rnacentral:rRNA from 1 species